rnacentral:rRNA from 1 species
GACGAACGCUGGCGGCGUGCCUAAUACAUGCAAGUCGAACGCAGUGGGGACGGGUGAGUAACACGUUGGUAACCUCCCAUCAGAGGGGAUAAAACUUGGAAACAGGUGCUAAACCGAUACUGAUGGAUGGACCCGCGGUGCAUUAGCUAGUUGGUGAGGUAACGGCUCACCAAGGCCACGAUGCAUAGCUGACCGGAGAGAGUGCUCGGCCACACGGGGACUGUGCCACGGCCCAGACUCCUACGGUAGGCAGCAGUAGGGAAUUGUCGUGAAUGGACGAAAGUCUGACCGAGCAACGCCGAGUGAGUGAAGAAGGUUUUCGGAUCGUAAAACUCUGUUGUUAGAGAAGCGGUAUCUAACCAGAAAGCCACGGCUAACUCCGUGCCAGCAGCCGCGGUAAUUC